UCGAAAUCACUCGCAUUUUCCCCUCUUUCUGGAAAUCUCUCGCGUUCUCUUCCUCACAGAACCUCUCACUUGCAGUCUCCCACCGUCAAAAUCGCGUUUCUCCCUCUUCCUCCCACAACAACUCACAGAACCCUUCCACUUCCAUUUUCCCCUCUCUCGAAAUCACUCGCAUUUUUUUUCCUCUUCCUCACACAACCUCUCAUUUGCACUCUCCCAUUGUCAAAAUCGCGUUUCUCCCUCUUCCUCCCACAACUCAGAACCCUUCCACUUCAACUCUCACACCGGCAUUUCGUUAGUGUGGCUAUCACUCACUGCCGUCGUCGUUCACUAUCGGCGGUGACUCUUCAGUUUUCCAGGGUUUAGGAAUGGCUAUAGGAAUGGUUAAAUGGAAAGCACAUCUAUAGUCAACAUGAACCUGUGCCUAAAAAGGUUCUUGACUUGAUGAAUGUUGAAAAGCUUACAUGGGGGAAUGUGGCCCACCACCUUCAGGCAUUGAUGAUAUUGUUCUAUUCAUAGAGCAUACGAUAAGGCUGCUAUCGUGGAGUAAAUGCUGAUAUAAACUUUAGUUUGAGAGAUUAUGAGGAGGAUUUGAAGCAGGUAUUGAACAUGUGAAAUAUUGAGGAGAAACGCAACUCACAUAAGUGCAUUAGCUCUUCACAAAGGUGGUCAAGGAGAAUAAAGUAUAAGACCAUUUAUUAGCAAGACGUGGAAAUGCUGAGAAGGACCAUGCUUGUUAGGAGAGAUUUGAGGACAUGGACUUCCGAAGAAGUGUUUUUAAAGUAGAUAGAAACAACCCAGUUUAGAUGUGGCUACAAAAACUGCUACGACACUUGCAAUUGUGCCUUCAUAGUAAUAGGUUCUAUAUUCUGGUUUUACAAGAAGGCGUUGCCCCUCCUGCAGUUCUAUUGUCAAUCAUAGUUAUUCACUCAUUUUAUUGAAAGUUGAAACUAAUGACAAUAACCUUAUAUAAUAUUAUAUUGUAUUUAUAAGUUUCUUUGUUUGUUUUAAGGCUUGUAGUUCUAUUGUCAAUCAUAAUUAUUUACUCA